rnacentral:misc_RNA from 1 species
GAUGAAGAACGUAGCGAAAUGCGAUACGUAAUGUGAAUUGCAGAAUUCAGUGAAUCAUCGAAUCUUUGAACGCAUCUUGCGCUUGCUGGUAUUCCGGCAAGCAUGCCUGUUUGAGUGUCAUGAAACUUAUCAACCGUGACUUGGGUUUAGGCCCCUGGCUCGGCUUGGAUUUGGGUGCUUGCGGCCUCGUGCUGCUCACCUUAAAAGGAUUAGCUGGACAUGUCGUGAGACUUGGUUCUACUUGGCGUAAUAAGUAUUUCGCUGAGGACAUCCCCUCGUGGGGUGGCCAAGACUCUAGUGCAAACGUCUGCUUUCUAACCCGAUCGUCCUCGGACAUCACUUUUUAUGAUCUGGCCUCAAAUCAGGUAGGACUACCCGCUGAACUUAAGCAUAUCAAUAAGAGGAGGA